AAGUGGCCUGUUAUUAAAGGGAGUUUGAUCCUCUCUUGCUGGCUUGCUCUCAUGCUCUCUUGUCCUUCCGCCUUCUGCCAUGGGAUGACACAGCAAGAAACCCCUUGGCAGAUGUGGGCCUCUCGACCUUGGACUUCUCAGCUUCCAGAACUAGGAGCCAUUGAAGAAUCCUGUUGUCCUAUCCCAGAAGGAUCAAGGGGACAACACUGAUAUCCUGACCGCUGACCAUCCACCACCACUUAAAGUUUUAAAAAGAAUAACAGAAAGAAAGAAGUGGCUGAAACCUAAAUGCCAUAUGGAGAAGACAGCUAAUUGCCACACUCUCCUCUUUGGUCUUUCCUGGUACACAGCAUACAAGCCCACAGAUUGAGGACUCUGCACUUGCUGUUCUCUCUGCCUGGAGCUCUAUGGCUCCAGAUAGACUCCUGCCAACUCCUUCGCCUUGUUCAGGUUACCUUCAUUAAAUGUCAGCUUAAAUGUGUGCCUACUUUUUGCCCUACCUGGAAUUGCAAGCACCUCUCACCACUGUGCUCCCAUUCUCCUUAACUUAAGCCACUUUUAUUUUCAUAAUAAAGCCACAUAUUUUUUCUUAUUAUAUCAUAAUCACACUGUAUAAUUUAUAUUUUAUUACUUUUGUUUGUAUACUUAUUCUAUGUUUCUGUUCACAAGGAUGUAAACCCCAUGAACACAGAGAUCUUUGAUUGUUUUAUUAACUGAUUUAUGCCAAAUGUUUGGAACAAUGCCUGGCACACAGCAGAUGUUUGAUAAAUAUUUUUUUUCUGAAUGAAUAAAUACGUUUUAGCCAAAUAUGCUGACUCUGCUUGUUUGGUUAUAUUUAUGUGUGUGUGCAUGUAUGUGCAGGAAAAGAAAGGAAUUAGUUAAUACCAAAUCUAUAAAAUGGGAAAAAUAAUGCUUACCUUAUAGUGUUGUUAUGAAACUCAACUAAUAUAAAAUAUGUGAAGGGUCUAGCAUAAAAUGUGGAGCAUAAUAAGCAUUCAAUAAAUGGCAUUCUGUUUUAUUUACCAUCUGGUUGCCUAUUGUUGAAGGUUGGCUCUUUAAUGUGCAAAUUAAGGUGUUUUAUUUCCUUCAUAUAUCAAUUACGGUCUAUUUAUUUAUUUCUAGAUAAAAUCCUUUGAUGGACAUUUAACCUGUGCCAACUAUUUACUAAGAAAAAUAUUUAUAUUCUG
rnacentral:lncRNA from 1 species